rnacentral:rRNA from 1 species
GAUGAACGCUGGCGGCGUGCCUCAAACAUGCAAGUCGAGCGAGGCUAUGAGUUACCGCAAGGUAAGGCAUAGCCUAGCGGCGAACGGGUGAGUAACACGUGGGUAACCUACCUGGAAGACAGGGAUAACGAUUCGAAAGGGUCGCUAAUACCUGAUAAUAUCCAUCUGCCGGAUGGCGGAGGGAAGAAAGGGGAAACCCGCUUUCAGAUGGGCCCGCGUCCCAUUAGCUAGUUGGUGGGGUAAAGGCCUACCAAGGCGACGAUGGGUAGCCGGCCUGAGAGGGUGGACGGCCACACUGGGACUGAGACACGGCCCAGACUCCUACGGGGGGCAGCAGUAGGGAAUCUUCGGCAAUGGGCGGAAGCCUGACCGAGCGACGCCGCGUGAGGGACGAAGGGCCUUCGGGUUGUAAACCUCUGUCUGGGGGACGAGUAAGGAGGUACCCCCGGAGGAAGCCCCGGCUAACUACGUG